CUCCGGGCCUCGCCGGGCCGGGACCCCGCCGCUCCGCUCCGCUCCGUGACGGGCCGGGUCGGGCCGGGCCCUCGCCCCCGGCUGGCCGUAGCUGUUACCACCGUGGGAGGGGCACGGGGGCCGUGGCCUUGGCCGCGCACGACCGUCUCCCUCCCUGCCUCCGCGGUCAGGUACUUCGAGGCCAGAGCCGCCUCCUGAGGGACCGGCCGAGGCCCCCCGCGAGGGCCUUCUCCGCCGUGGGCCCGCUGGGCGCCCGCGCUCCCGAUCCCCGCAGCGCAGUGCGUCGGGAGCAGCUCUCCGGGGAGCGAACGCAGGAAGGAGAGAAACGCGUAGGCAAAUACUAGUGUCAUCUCUGGACUGUCCAAGCCAAGGCAGCCAGGCAGGUUUACAAGUUGGGUGCGCUGGAAAUCCUCUUCUAGCAAGCACAAACAUAAUUACGCGGGUAGAUGACAACUUCCUUCUGCUGUGAGCCACCUUUAUGUAGACCAGCAGACCUCUUAAGGAGUUGUUCGUGAAAUUCCCUCUAGCUCUUCUUCUGAAGUGAUCAACUGCAGCAUGUAAGACUACUCAAAAUCCAAAGGCGCCUUUGACCAAACAUGAGACAUCCAUUGCUGUCUUUUCGGACAGAAUGCUUCCAUGGGGUAUACUUCACUUUUUAAUCCAUGCCCCUGAAGGUCAUCAAGAACAAUGCCAGCAUAUACAGAAUUCACAGCACUCUCAGGUCACAUGAUGUCUCUUUAUUUUUCCUGUUAGUUUAGAGCUUCCAUCUUUCAACUAGGCGAUACAGAACCAAUUUUUAACUGUUCAAACAAUUUUAUUUCUUUGAAGAACAAAGAAGAAUGAAAGAGUUGGGAUAUAGUUGCGCAGGGUAUGUCUACAUGACAGGCCUCUGGAAACAGACAGGCAAGCUCCAUAGCUCCUUCUGGCAUGACUAAUCUGUAGCAGAAAGACUCUAUUAUUGCACACAAUGGGUAUUAUGAAGACACACACACAAAAAAAAAACACACCAAAAAAACCCCAAACAAACAGAAAAAAGGGUCAGACCAGAACUUCACAGACAACUUCAGGAAGAGUGCACACUCAAAUCAGGGCUGAAACCUGAGUUUCAUAUCUAGUGUCUGGGCUAGAAUUUCAUAUUCGUCCUUUAUUGCUUGUACCCUGGACUUGAAGUGGAAGCAGGUAUUAUUUGCUGUGAAAAGCCAAGCUGUUACCUGAUCUAUAGCCAUUCUGGAUAUUUCCACCAUUUUUAUUUCACACUGCUACUGCACUUUUCCUUGGUUUUGCGUUUUUAACUCAAACUUUGUUCUGUUUAAAUCAUGUCUAAUCAAGACUGGAAUGGUUUAAUCCUUCUGUCAUAUAAAAUGGGAAGAAUACCUGAACUGAGGAGGUGGUGGACUAAUGAAACCUUUGAGAGCAGGUCACUCAUUUGGGCAGAGGGACAGACACACAAUGCAACUGUAUCAUAGCAGAGGUUACAGGGUUCCUCAUGGGCCAGAUCUUCAAGUGGAAUAAAUCACAGCAUCUGGCUCAGACUGCUUAAUCAAAUGGUGUCCCUCUCUAAGGCAUAGGAGUGGGUGGGCACUGUUCAUCCUUCUGUCCUAGAGUUCAUACUGCUCCUCUGAUGCAGUACUCAGGUACAUCAUGACCAGUGACGAUUAAUCAAAUGUAAACACAACACUCAUUAGUCUGAACUCUUGUAAACAUACCCAACAGCACUGUAUCAUUCAGGGUGAUUGUGUUCGUCCUUGUCUGGGACCACAAGGACUUCAUUGCCUGUUUGCAAUGUCUUGUUAGCAGCUGCUCUUGCCAUCUAAAUGUUUUCUCCUGCCUCACACUUCGUGUUCACUUAAAAGCUAUAUAAGGAGCUAAGCCUGUAACACUGAAUUACAGGCACAGACAAGGGUGGGUUAGUAAAAACGGGGUUUUAUUCAAACCAAUUUAGUGCUAAGAAGGAUUAGGGUCAGUUAGAAAUCAGUAAACAAACCUGACUAUUAUUAAUUCACAAAUACAUUUCUGCAUCAUUUUUCCCCACAAAGUUCUUCGCAGACUUCAGCUGAAAUACAUAAGAACUUUCUAUCCGCUAAAAUGCAGCUACCACUGGGACACCGCUGAAAUGUGGAAGCUGCAGGCCUUGGAGUUACUCAGGCCACAUGAGCUGGUUCAGGGAACAGACUGUGAAGUACAGACUUGUACAGAGCACAUUCUGUAGGCUCUGCUUUGGCUGUACUGUGUGAGCUGAAUAUUCACAGUCUGCCUAGAAGCACAAAUUGGGCUGGGAGAAAAAGAAAUGCAAGAAUGCAGGAAGUUCCUGUUUUCUACCCUUGUUUUCUGCCUUCCAUUUUACCGUGUGUAUGAGAGAGAAGAGAAUGGGACUGGCUUGAGAACAGCAUUAUGCACACUGUGUGCCCUGAAGUGCAGAGCAUCAGUGAACUGAAAGAUGGUCUGAGGUGAGCAACUGAUGCUGGACUUUGAUUGUGGUGGGUCGACCCUGGCUGGAUGCCAGGUGCCCACCAAAGCUGCUCUAUUGAUACCUGAUACAGGCUUCAAAAGAACAUACAGCCCCCUCUAAUUGGGGCAACAUAGCUACGUUUGAAAUACUUGGAAUACUUGCUAAUAAGAUAGUCUUAGAGCUUGCUAUAUGUGAUUAGAGAAAAGGGAGUCUGGAGACACUGUAUCGUUGAGUAGAAUAAAUAAGGGAAAUGUGCUAGAAUAAGCUAGUUUAGUAUCAGUAAGAAUUGUGUAACCAAGCCAAAAAUGAACUGAGCAUGCCCAGAGACUGAGUCCAACCAGCAGACACUGGGAGGAAGACUAUCGACAACCACCAGAGGACCCUGGAAGACCACCAAUGAACAUGAAUGUGCACGCGUUAAGGACAUUUGCAUAUAUUAAUGAGUUCCAAGAAUAGUAUUAAUAUUACAAUAAUUUCCUAGAAAUCUAAUGAAUAUGUAUACUUUGAUUGCAUAUAACCCCUGUAGAAGAGCAACUCGGUGCACACACUAGGUGGAGCGAUCCCCUGUGUGCCCACGGCGCCACAAUAAAGAAUGCCUGCCUUCUAAAACUGCAAAUUGAGUUUUAGAGGGUUCUUAUA